UACGUAGGGGGCAAGCGUUGUCCUGAAUCAUUGGGCGUAAAGAGCGUGUAGGCGGUUCAGUAAGUCUGCUGUGAAAGUCCAGGGCUCAACCCUGGGAUGCCGGUGGAUACUGCUGGGCUAGAGUACGGAAGAGGCGAGUGGAAUUCCCGGUGUAGCGGUGAAAUGCGCAGAUAUCAGGAGGAACACCGGUGGCGAAGGCGGUUCUCUGGGCCUGUACUGACGCUGAGGAACGAAAGCGUGGGGAGCGAACAGG
rnacentral:rRNA from 1 species